AGCAGCCGCGGUAAUUCCAGCUCCAAUAGCGUAUAUUAAAGUUGUUGCAGUUAAAAAGCUCGUAGUUGAAUUUCGGGAUCAGUACGUUGGUCGUGCCUUGGUACGUACUGGCGUCACUGAUUCCUCCCUUCUGAAGAACCGUCAUGCCAUUAAUUUGGUGUGGCGGGGAAUCAGGACUGUUACUUUGAAAAAUUAGAGUGUUUAAAGCAGGCUCGCGCUUGAAUACAUUAGCAUGGAAUAAUGAAAUAGGACGUUAAUCCUAUUUUGUGGUUUCUAGGAUCGACGUAAUGAUUAAUAGGGAUAGUUGGGGGCAUUAGUAUUCAAUUGUCAGAGGUGAAAUUCUUGGAUUUAUUGAAGACUAACUACUGCGAAAGCAUUUGCCAAGGAUGUUUUCAUUAAUCAAGAACGAAAGUUAGGGGAUCGAAGACGAUCAGAUACCGUCGUAGUCUU
rnacentral:rRNA from 1 species